GGGAAUCCAGCACGGCCGCAAAUCUGACUCGCCCGGUUCGGGCUUGGGAUUGCGGUAGUGC
ncrna:Haloferax denitrificans ATCC 35960 S15-Halobacteria ribosomal protein leader